GCUCCGCACGUCCCCGCCCCGGCCUUGCGGGGGGGCCGGCCCUGGCUCUGCCCCGCCCCGUCCCUCGCCUGUCGCUGUUGGCAGAGGCCACCGCGGCAUUGAGGUUGUUUUUCUGAAGAAAACAAGGGCUUGAACUGCUUCCGUGCGGCCUCUCCGGCCUUCCCUAAGGAGUUUAAAGAUGCUGAGCUUGCUUUGUGGAAUACCACCUGGCUCCUGCUUCUGCACAGAACUGGGUAUUAAAGUAUCUCGAGAAUGUAAAGAAAAAGCAGAAGCCGCUGCAUCUCCUGAAUGGCAAAGAGCUUCUCCUCCUGUUUUAGGAGCAGACGAUGAGCCUGGGAGGCCAGAAUUUUUCCUUAUCUCUAAAGUGGAAGAUGCCUGAGAUCGUGAAGUGCUAUUCCAUUUCCUUGUGGAAGCUGGUGCCCUGCUGAGGCGC